GUGUAUCUCACACGGUCAAGAGACAUGCUCGUAUCUCAGGCCGUGUGGGCAUUCGGAAAGGUACACACGAUCGUGUCCCAACCCGUGUCCUAAUUAGGUGCUCACUGACUUGGGUCACACGGCCAAGCCAUAAGCCCGUGUGCUAGGCCGUGUGAACAAUUCUGAGCAUUCUGUUUUGAAAUUUUUAAGAUGUAGGAGACACACGGCCAAAUCACACACCCAUGUGCUAGGCCGUGUGUCACACACGGCUGAGACACAUGCUUGUGUCUUUUCCCGUGUGGACGAAAAUAGGCCAUUUCCA
rnacentral:lncRNA from 1 species